CAAAUUCUAUGCGCGAAGUCGUCCAUCUCUCUCUCCAUUCUCUCGUUAUUCUCCAAGUAGCAAUGGUCGUCGGUGAGGACCGCAGUGGAGUCAAGCGUCCGGAACCACCUACUUGGGGUGUCGGUCGAGAAGGAUAUGCUCUCUGAGUUCUUUAGACGUAUUCACCCUGGGAAGUCGGCUAUUUGUGCUUGUUUGGAGGGUAAGAGGAUGCAAAUGUCUUGGCGGGAUUUGAAGAAUAAGACCGAUUGUGGGGUUUAUUUUAUGUGUCACAUGGAGACGUAUGCAGGCCAAGGGAUGUCUAAAUGGAAAUGCGGUCUUGUUAAGGGGGACACUACGGAGCUACACAAACUUAGGCUGCACUACAUGAAAGAACUCGCAGUUUCUGAAUUCAAUCCCAGGUGUACCAGUAUACCAGUUUUUCUCUCGCUCCUUCGUAGAGAUGUUUUUCCUGCUAUGUCAUUUUGUUGGUUGUCGCUUGUUGUUGACUACAAUUACUAUUGUUAGAACUUUUUGUUGUGGCGGUCUUUUGUGCACACGCUAUAUAAUUGUGUUGGCCCGUUUCUAAUUUUCUACACGCUUCUCGUAUGGUUUUAGUGCUACGUUUUUGUGCAAUCCUGUGUAUACGUUGGGUUAAGUGUAUAUAGAACAUACAACUUUCUUCCACUUAUUAGACUAUGGUUUCAGCUAAUUAUAUCCAUAUUCAUUUUGUAAUUCCA